rnacentral:tRNA from 1 species
UCCUUGGUGGCUCAGUCGGUAAAGAAUCUGCCUGCAAUGCAGGAGACCUGAGUUCCAUCCCUGGUCAGGGAA